AGUCGUAACAAGGUUUCCGUAGGUGAACCUGCGGAAGGAUCAUUACCAAUCCAAAAAACCUUUCUAUAAACCCUUGUGAACUGACAAAUUGAGUUGUACCUUGGAUGUUCAGGUUAUUUAUAGUAAUGACUACUUUAAUAAUAUACGUAUUACGGUAAUAAAUUUAAUUUUAUUACUUGUUAUUAUUAAUUUUAGUUAGUACUAUAUAAUAAUUUGACAUCCAAUUGUAAAACCCCUUGAAAACCUUUAGUUGACUAACUAAACUUGAAAAAAAUCUCGUUUUUUUUCCCCAGUAUCAUAUUUAUUGUGAUCUGGCAAAAAUUAAAAGAGUAAAUAAUAAUAAUAAAUACAACUUUUGGCGGUGGAUCUCUUGGCUCAU
rnacentral:misc_RNA from 1 species